CUUCUUUACCGGAGACUGCAGCGUUAAUAUACGACUAUUAAGGCGAUGAAGAAAACAUUGCGUGAAUAUUACCAUCUGAUAAAUAUAUUAUUAAAUUUUUUUUUAAUAAUUUAGGAUGAGAAACGCAAGAUAGCUGAGCUUU